rnacentral:rRNA from 1 species
CACAAGCGGUGGAUGAUGUGGUUUAAUUCGAUGCAACGACGAAAAACCUUACCUACCUUGACAUGUCCGGAAUCCCGAAGAGAUUUGGGAGUGCUCGCAAGAGAGCCGGAACACAGGUGCUGCAUGGCUGUCGUCAGCUCGUGUCGUGAGAUGUUGGGUUAAGUCCCGCAACGAGCGCAACCCUUGUCAUUAGUUGCCAUCAUUUGGUUGGGCACUCUAAUGAGACUGCCGGUGACAAACCGGAGGAAGGUGGGGAUGACGUCAAGUCCUCAUGGCCCUUAUGGGUAGGGCUUCACACGUCAUACAAUGGUCGGUACAGAGGGUUGCCAACCCGCGAGGGGGAGCUAAUCCCACAAAGCCGAUCGUAGUCCGGAUCGCAGUCUGCAACUCGACUGCGUGAAGUCGGAAUCGCUAGUAAUCGUGGAUCAGCAUGUCACGGUGAAUACGUUCCCGGGUCUU